UGGGGCUGGUCCUGUGCAGGGCCAGGGGUUGGAUUCAAUGAUCCUUGUGGUUCCCUUCCAAAUGAGAAUAUUCUGUGAUUCUAUGAUUCCAUGAAUCAAUGAUUUUGUGAUUCUCCUCUAAGUGUAGGACAUACUUUUUUAAGGUGAGGUGCCAGAAUUGUGACUCCUGGUUUAGGGCCCCUAGCAUCCCUCUUUUCUUUAGCAUCUGAAAGCAGGUGUUUUGGGCUGUGGUGUCCUCAAAGGUGGCCUUUACUGCUCCAUGUACCCAGCAGGAACUUUGUGUGCACCAUUAUGGGACAAUACACUCAUAAAAGGUCAUCACAAUAUGCUACUUCUAUACUGUCCAAAAAUCAUGCCUCAAAUAUGUUUGAGAAUCACUGAACUGACAUUGACUGGAGGAGACAAGGAAGGAUUUAUAGAGUGCAGUGUGGAAGACCAUAUGCUCUGGGGUGCAGGCAUAGGGUCAUGAUCCAUGAGCAGAACAUUCACCAGGGCCUUUGCAGCCCUUCUGUCUGUGCUGCUCUGCCAAGUGCUGUCUGUGUUGCACUGCUCUCCAGGUUCAGUUGGAGGUGGCUCACAUGGAGCAACAGGGCUUUGCAUUAUUCCGAAAUGUACAGAAGGAAGGAGGAGACUUUGCUGCCUGAUGCUCAAAAAGGAAUUUAGGCCAACAGACACUUGUGGAAAUUCCAGUCAAGAAAACGUUUGCCCUUCGAAGGGUUUUAAAAGUCAGAAAUAAGUAUAUUUUUUAAUCUCAAUAUUAUGUGGUAAUAGCUGGAAGGAUACAAGACCCAUGUUGAAUAAAUAGAUGGGUUAGAGUUUAUCAUGUAUUUAAAAAUUAGUCCAUUACUGUAAUUUCAGCAAUGUGAUUUUAGAGUAAAUGCAAUUUAGUACAUUUUUACAUUUUUUCAUGUAGGUACACAGGAGAGAGCAGUAAAACAUUGACAUUAAAAUGAGAGGGUGGAAGCUGAUGGUUCAUUCACUUAAAUAUAUACUUUUUUGGCAGAUGGGGAAAGUACUGUCCUUCACCUGUGCAUCUCUCAGGUCUGCUGGGAAUGGGUACAGUUUGGGUGGUCUCUACUUUGUUUUUGUGAAGAGAUUUUGCUAUGUGUUGCUGCUUCCCGUUGGUAUCAUAUAUGAACAUAAUGUGACAUCACAACAAAAUCUGAAAGCUGAAUAAAGUGUUUCUGUCAGUUGUGCACUUAAAAUACCUUCAGAACCAAAAUAUUUUCCUGUUUGGGCCUUCUUUGGCUGUGAGUCUGUUUUCACACAUUUUUCUCAGAAUAGGACAUUUGAGAUUAAAAGUUGUGAUGCAGUUUUGACCAGAGCUGAAUACAGUUAUGGAUUGCUCUAGCCCAGGCUCAUGCUAAUGUAUUUUUUUUUAUUUUUUUAGUGCCAAAAUUCAACAGUUCAUUUAAAAGUUGGUUGUCCUUUCUGCAUCCCUGGAUUUUUAGCUCCACCAUUCACCUGCUCCUAACACCCCAGAGAAAGGUAGAAGGCUGUGACAGUGAUUGCUAGGGGGAAAUACCAAGAAGAUUAGGGGUAAAAAAAAAUCUGAUAAUAAAUUGUAGCACAGUUUCUCACUGGCAUGAAGCAAUUUAGAAAUAGUUCAUGGAAUUGAAAAGCAUGAUUGGAUACAAAUGUAUCACAUGCUUUGGUGUGUAUUAUAUUUUGCAUGUGACUGUAAUGUUCUGUUCAUUGCAUCUAUGCCCAUUUUUUUUGCAUAUUUGGAAGUGCUUUCCCACACUAUAUGAAAUCAUUUGUUUUUAAUACAGUGCAGAUGAAAAUACAAAUUUUUUAUUGUUUGAUUACUGGAGCUUUAUUGUCGACAUUGGUCUGGUUGGUCUUAAAAGAAGAAUUUAGAUAGAUUGUUCUUAUAUUUGUAAUUAAUUUUUUUUAACUUGAACCAAAUUCAUGCAUGUUUUAAGUGCAUCGAUUUCAGUCUGUUUUUCCUAGUUUGCUUUGGCAUAUUAAGUCCACGCAGCGCACUGUGUUUUUAUACACUAGACAAAUAGAACUCUGCAGGUGUAGGAGACAAAUCAUACUAUCCUUAUGAAACAGUCCUGUGGUGAGCAACAUCAAGAAAAGGAAAAAGCCACUGUGCUGAAACCUGGAAAAUGUUUUGCUGCAAGCAAUGAAAAUGAAAGAUAGAGAGCACAUACCUAUUACAUCUCUUGUAAAAGUGGCAGAAAGUUAAAUACUUUUUAAUAACCCUUUGGUCAUUAUCAUGUUUCUGAGCUCUCAGAAGUGUAUGAGGUGAAAACCUUUCUUUUUUGAGAGCAGGAAAAAUGAAGCACACAGGAGAGGAGGAACACGGGUAUGUUAUUUGUCUUUCACUGUCCUCUAACCUUCCCAUAUUUCCACUAUACUGUACAGUGCAUCAACUCUCAAUAUUGGAUUUCCUUAAAAGGUCACUGAAAAUGCAUUCUGGAUUUGAAAUGUAGGUUGUAUUAGCUUUGGAUGUAUGUAUUAUAUUAUUUUCAGAAAUGGUAUGGAGGAAAAAAAUAUAAUCUUCCUAUUAAUCCUCAUGUGAAAUAUAUUAUCCUCAGUUGUGGAUAAGUGGGCAAUCAUCAGCCUAGUGCUGCCAAAAAUGCAGAGAGGAAUGCAUUGAUUUAAUCUGUUGGUUUGUAACUAUUAUUUUGGAUUUUUCAAUUUCUCUUACAAUUUAUUAUUUUGGAUUUUUCUCCAGUGAAGAACUGAUUUCUUCCUCCAUUUUCCCUGUGUUUUGUUCAGUCAUUAGAUUUUUCAGAGGCCUCUUGUUUUCUCACCUUUUCCUCUAUCCCCUCUUACACUGUCUGUAUUUCUUUCCCAGCCACAACAGCACGUUUCUCUCCAAACAGCUCUCAGAAGAGCUGCCCCUUUAGCCUGUUCCUUGGGGAAGGAGGAGAGGAGAGGAGAGGCAGGGUGCAGCUGCCCAGGGAGUGCUGCAGCAGUCUGAGCCUGUCUGUUCCCUUCUAUUCUGCUCCCGUCUACUCCUGUAAAGCAGAAGGGAGAGGGACAGGCAAUGCUGCCAGCACCAGCAACAACUCUGGGGCUUCUGCCCAAAAAGAGACACCUGCAGACCUUGUUAAAUUUCUGGGAAUAGUUUGGCUGGACAGGUGACUCUUUAAAUUUUUCUUACUCUGAAAAUUAUGUUGUAACCAUGGUGUUUCAGUGGAGUGUUAAAUCACUUCGCAGUAAGAGAUUUCUACAUUUAAAUGUCAAAUCAAAUGGCUCAAUCCACUAAGUGGCAGAUGUAUUUUCGUCAGCAGUGCUUUUAUGAAAAAACACUCUUAGGAUUGCUCUUCCUGUCAAAGCUCCCAGCCUAAAUGUGGGUGAGGGAGCCAGAACUCUUUGGCAUAGAAAAGGGCUUCUGAGGGGCUGCAGGAGCUAGGGUGGCCCAGGCCAGUUGUGGGGAUGAGCCCCUCACUGCCUGCCCCAUCCUGAGAGCCAGUGAGCAGAGAGUGACACCACAGAAGCACCCCUUCAGGGCUAAAGAAAGGAUGCCAUUCCUUGGGCCAUGAGCAGCAGCUUAAUCUUUGCCAGGGGACUUCCUGGAUGCGUGAGCUGCAGCAUGUGGCCCAGCUUUUGCCUGCCAUUAAUCAGCCCCUGGAUACUUCCUCGCCUUGCGGGAUGCUUUCCGCACUUCUCCUCUGGGAUGCUGGGCUGCCCACUGGGUGGAGAGCAGCAGCUUCCAGAGAGCAUCCAGCUGUUGGGACCCUGGGUGCCUAGCAGUCAGGCAGUUCUUUUGGAGCUGAAAUGGAGAAAAUCAAGGCGAGAACAGAAAAGAAAAAAAAAAACAAAACAAUAAAAGAAAAAUAAUAAUUAUAUAUAUAACCAAUAGUAAAACCAAACACAAAUACUUCCGGGGGGAAAAUGUAGAGAGAUGUCUAAGGUGAAAAUACAGACAGCUUUAAUUAUAACUGUGGUUAUUUAUUUAUUUAUUGUCUUGCUUAUUAGAGCACUGAUCCAUCACAACUCCCCUCUCAGCACCAGGCAAUGGCAGGGGCUGUGGGAGGGGGACUGCUGGUUUGGGAGUGAGAGCUAGUCUGCACCAUCCCCCCGUGCCAAACCAGGGCAGAGGAUCUGCUGAGGUGCCUCAGCACCUCUGCUUGCUAAAACCCUUCAGGCAUAUACUCAUGGGGUUUAUGUGAUAAAUGUUUUCAAUAUUGAGAAAUGUAGCACAAAGUGGGUUUUUUUCCUCUGGGGGAAAAACAAGGAUUUUCUUCCCAUUUUCUGUGCUUUUGUGAAUCUUUUCUAGGUGCUCCUAGAAAAAUAAACACAAAUUAGCUGAUAGUAAACUAUAAUUUGCAUAUUUUUAAGAUGUACAUGAAGUGUUGUCUGGGAAUAAGGAAUGCCUUUUAAGCAGUAGAAUUUUAAAAGGAGAGGGAACAAUUGUAACCCAUCAUUUCUUCCUCAUGGAGGUGGUCAUGACAUGAAGGUUGGCCUUUCUGAUGUUGGCAGCACCUCUGGGGUAGAUGGACAUCCACACUAUCAGCUGACAAACCUACCACAUCCAGAGCCUCACACCUCUUGUGUAGAGGCACCAGAAGAGGGAGGGAAGAGUGUGGCUCCAGCAGCUUUUUCUCAGACUCCCUGAGGCUUCUGAACCAGACCACUUCCCUUCAAAGCUCUGCAUCAUCUACUUGGUCACACACCUCACAGAGGUGUCCUCGCUCUGCUCAGCUCCUGUGGACCAGAGGUGCAAUACAUCAGCAACAACGAAACCAGCCAUGCCUGAACACAGGGACAAAGAGCACUGUCCAGCAGGGGACAGCUUCUCACUGCAGAGUCAUACCUGCUCUGAGCUCAGCACUCAGUACUGUGCCUCACCAGCUUGUCAAUAGAAAAUUAUUGGCAGAGGAGGUUUCAUUGAGCAUAUUACAGCACAAACCACCAUAAUAAAGAUCUUGAACAAUCUCAAUGGGCCACAAAUAAAAACCCUGACAUGGGCACAUACACACACACUAAACACAUCUCAGUGUUAGUGGGCCUUAUAUUGAAAUGAAAAAAUGCUGUGUUGUUUCUGCUUUAAGAUGCAAUACAGGUCAAGUGACUUGCUGCAUUCAGGCAGUUUCAUGUUUCUACAUAACUGUAAACCAUUCUGUUUUUUAAAAAAAAGCUAAGCUAAUCUAGGAACCUUGGGGUGCUUUUUUUCUGGUUUGGAUUAUUUUCUUUUUUACUUCUUUUUUUUAUUACAGUUUCAUAACAAGUGCUGGAAAAUAAACACUUUUCUUCUUUCAAUGGAGCUGCUGCUUAAUGCUGCUGUCUAACAAUAAUUUAGCCUUAAAAACAAUCAAAACUUUCUGCUGUAAUUUCAGAGACUUCAACUUGCUCAUCUGAUCUCCAAGGACAGAAAGAAUGAUUACUAUUCAAGAAAAAAAAGUCCACUCCUAUUUUAAUUAAAAAGAUGCUGUGUUUGUGCUGGAAAUUACUUCAAAGUUUAAAUUAAAGAUGAAAUUAUUUCCUUUAAUCGAGGUUAUAAAACAAUUUUGCUAUUAGUGUGAAGACCUAAAAGGGACAAUUUUUUUGCUUGUUCCAAACCUUUGCUGAGGACUGGAAUGUGUUUUUUUUCCUUAUUACUUUUGGUUAUUUACAGUAUGUAACUCACAGGUCCUGUAACAUGGGUUCUGCAUUAAAAACGCCUCAAUCUCAUA